ensembl:snoRNA
UGCAGCCAUGUCAAAUUCAGUGCCUAGCCUACCGAUGACAGGCACUGACCCAAAAGGCUGCCAUAGAAAUACUGUGACUCAUGGGCCCUGUACCCCUUACCUGGGAUCAGGGAUAAAUUUGGUCACAUACACAA